CCUACGGGGGGCAGCAGUGGGGAAUAUUGCACAAUGGGCGCAAGCCUGAUGCAGCCAUGCCGCGUGUGUGAAGAAGGCCUUCGGGUUGUAGAGCACUUUCAGCGGGGCGGAAGGCGUUAAGGUUAAUAACCUUGUCGAUUGACGUUACCCGCAGAAGAAGCACCGGCUAACUCCGUGCCAGCAGCCGCGGUAAUACGGAGGGUGCAAGCGUUAAUCGGAAUUACUGGGCGUAAAGCGCACGCAGGCGGUCUGUCAAGUCGGAUGUGAAAUCCCCGGGCUCAACCUGGGAACUGCAUUGGAAACUGGCAGGCUAGAGGCUUGGAGAGGGGGGUAGAAUUCCAGGUGUAGCGGUGAAAUGCGUAGAGAUCUGGAGGAAUACCGGUGGCGAAGGCGGCCCCCUGGACAAAGACUGACGCUCAGGUGCGAAAGCGUGGGGAGCAAACAGGAUUAGAUACCCGGGUAGUC
rnacentral:rRNA from 1 species